rnacentral:rRNA from 1 species
GGGCCCGCACAAGCGGUGGAGCAUGUGGUUUAAUUCGAUGAUACGCGAGGAACCUUACCAGGGCUUAAAUGUAAGUUGCAUAAACUAGAGAUAGUUUUUUCUUCGGACUACUUACAAGGUGCUGCAUGGUUGUCGUCAGCUCGUGCCGUGAGGUGUCAGGUUAAGUCCUAUAACGAGCGCAACCCCUAUCGUUAGUUGCCAACAGGUUAAGCUGGGAACUCUAACGAGACUGCCGGUGCAAACCGCGAGGAAGGUGGGGAUGACGUCAAAUCAUCACGGCCCUUACGUCCUGGCUACACACGUGCUACAAUGGCCGGUACAGAGAGCAGCCACUCCGCGAGGAGGAG